UGGUAUGGCCAUACCAGUCUGAAAGUUCCUGAUCUCGUCCGAUCUCUGCAACCAUCCAGACUUGUGCCUGGUUAGUACUUGUAUGGGAGACCAACUAGGAAACUCAGGUGCCGUUGGGC